rnacentral:tRNA from 1 species
GGACCUGUAGCUCAGUUGGUUAGAGCGCAUCAUUGACAUUGAUGAGGUCACAGAUUCGAGUUCUGUCAGGUCCA